CCCACUGUCAAAAGAAACAAUUUUUAGCUAUGGUUUUAUCAUAUAUGUUGGCUCUGAGCUCGUUAUUUUAAAAUUAAAAAUGGAGGUAGAUCUACAAGAAAGGCUUUAACAGAAAUUCUUGCUACUAAGGAUAGUCUGAUUUCUCCAGUGAUCAGUGCGCUGUAUACACUUUAAUUGAUGUUAAAUAUUAUAACUAGGCUUUGUAAGUUUAACUGAUGUUAAUGGACAGUUUUCUACAAAUUAAGGCAUCAUAGUCAUUAUUGACUUAAAUUUAUAUAUUCUUUCUGUUGGUAGGUGACCUAAACUCUUCCGAGUCAUGUACAUUCACACAGUGAGACACUGAGACCGCAGGUUGUAGCCAUAAAGGCUGGGUUGCACAGCAGUGCAGUUAUGAAAGCAACAGUCCAGACAGACUACAGGAUAUGUUCCCUCAGAGGUUUUCAAGGUUUUGUCUUGACAGAGACAUAGCUGAUGUCCAGAUCUAAAAAGUUUGCAGCACUCCUUCUUCCACCCAGAGGCUGAAGAUAACUGAGCUGUACAAGUCCCACCAAAUCAAUAAUUCUACUAUGCAUCUGCCUUACAUUACGCUGAAGCAGAUCAAGAGCAUUUGCACAAGCAGCACUUUCAGGACACCAGUACUUCAGUGUUAUAAAGAUAUAAUCAUACCUAACACUGACAAGCUGAGGAUCAGCCUUUUGACAUCGAGAGCAGAAGUAAGUCAUCCUGUUAUUCUCUCCUAAACGACACACAGUGAUUUUCUCAUUGCACUGACCGCAGGUUUGGCGCCUGUAUACUUUGUAGUGUUUGUAGAGUGGAGACCCAGUUUUGCGGCACUAAAAUAGAACAUGUUUAAAAACCAAGUUACAGAUACUAUAUAAAUUAUGGUAGCUUUUCUACAGCUCAUCUGAAACUAAACUAAAAUUAAAAAAAAAAUACCUGUGUAGACUAAUAGCUUAAUGAUUAAACAAAGACAUUAGAGACAUGUCCAUGAGGGCUACAUCCUGUAUUUCAUCUUCUUUUAUUUCAAAAAUUGACAUUAAAUCUGGUAUAUCAUGGUGCAAAAUUUUCUGAGUAUUGGAAUAAAGAAAGAAAUACACAAAAAAGACAUACUAGCAUGGCAUCAGCAGACAUAUGCUAGGGAUCUCUUGCAUUUAGAUGGACCAUCUAACUUUAACAGCAGUCUUCUUUGACCUGUCAGCUGCAAAAAUACACUGGGAGAGCUCAUGAGCUCCAAUCAACACAGCAGAGAAAAUGAAUAAGAGUCAGCUUGAGCCCAAUAAAGUUGCUCAGUUUCAUCCUAGUGCUCAUCACACCAGACAGGCUGGCUUGUGAAAUGCUAGUUGGCACAAUGGCAAGAUCCCCAUCCCCAGGAGCUGGCAGAAAGUCAUGUUAAAGUAGGAACAGAACAAACUCAAAGGACACAGUGACCUAAUGAGACCCCAAAGAGUUGACAAGCAGGCAUAUUUCAUGAGACAGUUCAUGCAAAGUCAACACAGGCAAACCCCAGUUAAAACUGACAGAAGGAAAAAAAAGUAAAAUCAGGAAGAGCCCAGUAGAGAUACAGCCAGUAAUUCAGUCAGAAGGAAUUACUGAUAAAGUGUUUGCAUGAAUAUUCACAAGCAAUUUUUUUUGUAAAUUUCUCCUUUAGAAGUCCAUUUUUUAUUAGUUUUGUUCCAUUGGUUAUUAAAACCAGACAAAAAUAACAGCUUUACUAUAUGAACUAGGUCCCACAUAUUUAUGUCUGUAAGGCGUUAAACUACAAAUCAAAGUGUAGAAUGAUUACUAUAAUAAUUACAGUAUGCUGACAUUCUAUAAACAAUGAUCAUCACUACUACAUAUUAAUCUGUUUUUGUUAUGUUUUUAUCUUCAAGAGGCUUUGGGGGCAAGUUCAUCCUUAAAAAGUACUUAGCUGAUGAAUACUUAGAAGGCUUAGUUAUAAAAAUUUAAGCUUACCAAAAAGAACUUCUAGCAACGCUAGCUCCUUGUCUUUCAUGAACAACUUUGAGAAACAGACAAGCAUUUCAUUCCUCUUUCAUUCCUCUGCGUGCAGCUUAAAGAAAAACAAGAAUGCAGCAACAUACAAGAAUUAGGCCCAGUUCGUUCAUUCUGUUUUGCAAAGAGGAAGAGCCACUAGGAAUUACAAGGUUGACAAGAGAAGAAAUUAAAUCCUAUUGAAUGGGAGUAGGGAACAGCUUGAGUUUAUUUUGCUUUAUCAACCAAAGAAUUUGUCACAGUUAGGAAGAAAUGUUAGGAUUUACAAUGUAUUCAUUCAUAUAAAUGUACUUAUUUCACGUUUCAUAAAGUUGCAUUAAUUGAAUUCCCAUAAAAAUUCCCAGGGGCAAGCAGUAGCUCCUAGUUUGAAGAGCUGUCACCUUACAUGUAUGUGCCUAACCUAUAUUAAUUCUGACACAUUCAGAGUGACUUCAUAUGUACAGCAAAACUGUACUGAAUUGGCCCAUGUCAUUCUUCCUGCUGCAACUUGGCCAAAGUUCUGCACAUUCUUACAGUCUAGAUUUCCCCACUCUUCCAUCUCUUGAUAAUUUGCAAUAAAACGCAAAGCAAGACUCCUAUUCACUGAAACACUUGUUUUAUUUCUUUUCCUCUUUUCCCUGAUGAAAUACAGCUGUGAUGCUGUAAUCAAGUUUUG